rnacentral:rRNA from 1 species
UACAUGGAGUCCAAGCGUUAUCCGGAUUUACUGGGCGUAAAGCGUCCGUAGGUGGCCUGUUAAGUCUUCGGUGAAAUCUCCGGGCUUAACUCGGAAAUUGUCGAGGAAACUGACAGGCUAGAGUACGGCAGAGGCAGAUGGAAUUCUUGGUGUAGGGGUAAAAUCCGUUGAUAUCAGGUGGAACACCAGUGGCGAAGGCGGCUUUCUGGACGGUAACUGACGCUGAGACGCGAAAGCGUGGGGAGCAAACAGG